GGGCGUCAUCGGAUGGUCCAAGCCAUGCGAGUCAUUGUAGUAAUACAAGGCAGACGGCUCAGUAACGCGUAGUCAAUCUACCCUAUGGACGAGGAUAACCUCGGGAAGCUGAGAAUAAUACUCGAUAGAACACUAUGCCUGGAAUGGUUUGUGUUUGAAAUGAUUUAUCGCCAUAGGAUGGGACUGCGGCCUAUCAGUUUGUUGGUGAGGUAAUGGCCCACCAAGACUAUUACAGGUACGGGCUCUGAGAGGAGUAGCCCGGAGAUGGGUACUGAGACACGGACCCAGGCCCUAUGGGGCGCAGCAGGCGAGAAAACUUUGCAAUGUGCGAAAGCACGACAAGGUUAAUCCGAGUGGUUCCUGCUAAAGGAACCUUUUGUCGGUCCUAGAAACACCGAUGAAUAAGGGGUGGGCAAGUUCUGGUGUCAGCCGCCGCGGUAAAACCAGCACCUCAAGUGGUCAGGAUGAUUAUUGGGCCUAAAGCAUCCGUAGCCGGCUCUGUAAGUUUUCGGUUAAAUCUGUACGCUUAACGUACAGGCUGCCGGGAAUACUGCAUAGCUAGGGAGUGGGAGAGGUAGACGGUACUCGGUAGGAAGGGGUAAAAUCCUUUGAUCUAUUGAUGACCACCUGUGGCGAAGGCGGUCUACCAGAACACGUCCGACGGUGAGGGAUGAAAGCUGGGGGAGCAAACCGGAUUAGAUACCCGGGUAGUCCCAGCUGUAAACUAUGCAAACUCAGUGAUGCAUUGGCUUGUGGCCAAUGCAGUGCUGCAGGGAAGCCGUUAAGUUUGCCGCCUGGGAAGUACGUACGCAAGUAUGAAACUUAAAGGAAUUGGCGGGGGAGCACCACAAGAGGUGAAGCCUGCGGUUCAAUUGGAGUCAACGCCGGG
rnacentral:rRNA from 1 species